rnacentral:lncRNA from 1 species
CCCAAAAAAUCCCCAAAAAAUCCAAAAAAAAUCCCAAAAUAUCCCAAAAAAUUCCCAAAAAAUCGCCAAAAAAUCAAAAAAAAAUCCAAAAAAAAUAAAAAAAAAAUCCCAAAAAUUCCCAAAAAAAUCCCCAAAAAUUCCCAAAAUUCCCAAAUUUCCCAAUAUCCCCCCAAUUCCCGCCUUCCCCUCCCCCUCACCUGGCACUCCGGGCUCCCCCAAAAAUCCCAUAAAAAACCCCCAAAAAUCCCAAAAAAUCCCCAAAAAAUCCCCAAAAAUCCCCCCAAAAUCCCCAAAAAAUCCCAAAAUUCCCAAAAAAAUCCCCCAGAAUUCCCAAAAAAUCCCCAAAAAUUCCCAAAAAAUCCCAAAAAAAUCCCCAAAGAAUCCCAAAAAAAUUCCCAAAAAUUCCCAAAAAUUCCCAAAAAAUCCCCCAAAAUUUCCCAAAAAAAUCCCAAAAUAUCCCCAAAAAAUCCCAAAAAAUCCCCAAAAAAUCCCCAAAAAAUCCCAAAAAUUCCCCAAAAAAUCCCAAAAAAUCCCAAAAAAAUCCCCAAAAAAUCCCCAAAAAUAAAAAAAAAUCCCCAAAAAAAUCCCAAAAAAUCCCCAAANNNNNNNNNNNNNNNNNNNNCUGGCACUCCGGGCUCCCCCAAAAAUCCCAUAAAAAACCCCCAAAAAUCCCAAAAAAUCCCCAAAAAAUCCCCAAAAAUCCCCCCAAAAUCCCCAAAAAAUCCCAAAAUUCCCAAAAAAAUCCCCCAGAAUUCCCAAAAAAUCCCCAAAAAUUCCCAAAAAAUCCCAAAAAAAUCCCCAAAGAAUCCCAAAAAAAUUCCCAAAAAUUCCCAAAAAUUCCCAAAAAAUCCCCCAAAAUUUCCCAAAAAAAUCCCAAAAUAUCCCCAAAAAAUCCCAAAAAAUCCCCAAAAAAUCCCCAAAAAAUCCCAAAAAUUCCCCAAAAAAUCCCAAAAUUCCCAAAUUUCCCCAAAAUCCCCCCAAUUCCCGCCUUCCCCUCCCCCUCACCUGGCACUCCGGGCUCCCGGGGCUGAGAUCGAGGCAGAAACUUUCGGGAUUUGA